GACGAACGCUGGCGGCGGGCUUAACACAUGCAAGUCGAACGGUAAGGCCCCACCUUGCUGGGGUACACGAGUGGCGAACGGUUGAGUAACACGUGGGUGACCUGCCCCGCACUUCGGGAUAAGCCUGGGAAACUGGGUCUACUACCGGAUAGGACCGCACCGUGAGGGUGUGGUGGAGAGUUUUUCGGUGUGGGAUGGGCCUGCGGCCUAUCUGCUUGUUGUUGGGGUAUUGGCCUACGAAGGCGGCGUCGGGUAGCCGGCCUGAGAGGGUGGACGGCCACAUUGGGAAUGAGAGACGGCCCAGGCUGCUACGGGAGGCAGCAGUGGGGAAUAAUGCACAAUGGGAGGAGGCCUAAUGCAGCGCCGCCGCGUGGGGGAUGACGGCCUUCGGGUUGUAAACUCCUUUCGCCUUCGACGAAGGUGUUCUGACGGUAGAUGGCGAAGAAGCACCGGCUAACUCCGUG
rnacentral:rRNA from 1 species